GCAACAGCUCAAAUUUGAAAUCUGGCCCUCGGGUCCGAAUUGUAAUUUGUAGAGGAUGAUUUUGGUGCGGUAUCUUCCGAGUUCCUUGGAACAGGACGCCUUAGAGGGUGAGAGCCCCGUACGGUUGAAUGCCUAGCCUCUGUAAAUCUCCUUCGACGAGUCGAGUAGUUUGGGAAUGCUGCUCUAAAUGGGAGGUAAAUUUCUUCUAAAGCUAAAUAUUGGCCAGAGACCGAUAGCGCACAAGUAGAGUGAUCGAAAGAUGAAAAGCACUUUGAAAAGAGGGUUAAAUAGCACGUGAAAUUGUUGAAAGGGAAGGAUUUGUGACCAGACUUUUUCUGGGCGGAUCAUCCGGGGUUCUCUCCGGUGCACUUUGCCCAGUAAAGGCCAGCAUCGAUUUUCGGCGGCGGAUAAAAGCAGUGGGAAUGUGGCUCCCUACGGGGAGUGUUAUAGCCCAUUGUAUAAUACGCUGCUGGGGAUCGAGGUACGCGCUUCUGCAAGGAUGCUGGCGUAAUGGUUAUCAAUCACCCGUCUUGAAACACGGACCAAGGAGUCGAACAUUUAUGCGAGUGUUUGGGUGUUAAACCCUCACGCGUAAUGAAAGUGAACGGAGGUGAGAGCCCGUACGGGUGCAUCAUCGACCGAUCCUGAAGUUUUCGGAUGGAUUUGAGUAAGAGCAUAACUGUUCGGACCCGAAAGAUGGUGAACUAUGCGUGGAUAGGGUGAAGCCAGAGGAAACUCUGGUGGAGGCUCGCAGCGGUUCUGACGUGCAAAUCGAUCGUCAAAUCUGCGC
rnacentral:rRNA from 1 species